rnacentral:lncRNA from 1 species
AGACUUCAUUACACAAACUUCAGCCCUAGCAUGCUCAAUUUCAUCUACACAUGUGGUGUGAGUCAAUUUUAAUUCAUUAAUUUCAGCAAACAAAGACUCACAAGAAACACAUACCAAAGAAGCAUUACACCUUAACAAAGAAAUUUCGUCUCUAGUCUUAUCAAGAUCAUUAUUUAAAGCUACACAAGAAUUGCAAGGCCCUAGACAUUGAGUUUCAACAAGUCAUUUUCAGAUUUCAAGAAAUUAAGAGAAGAGUUCAAUUCAUCAUUUUUUCUAAGCAAGGCAUCACAAGAAUUGCAAGAAUUUAAAGCACAUGACUUCCAAUGAGCAAUUCCACAUUUCAACCUAGCAAUAGAAUAAUUCAUCUUCUCGUUCUUCCUACCCAAAGCAUCACAAAGAUCUAUGUUUCUCUCAUUCUCAUCUUCACAAUCAUCAACACGAUUGCAUAGAACUAUGAUGCAUUUUGCAAGCGUACCUUGGCUCAUGUCUCUUAGCCCGCGGUAGAACUCGCCCUUCGUGAGGUCACCAUCUUGGUAGUUCUCGAGGAGAUCCAUCACCGCCUCCACUUUGAGUUCCAACUCAAUCUUCG